ACGGGAGGCAGCAGUGGGGAAUAUUGGACAAUGGGGGAAACCCUGAUCCAGCGACGCCGCGUGAGUGAAGAAGUAUUUCGGUAUGUAAAGCUCUAUCAGCAGGGAAGAUAAUGACGGUACCUGACUAAGAAGCACCGGCUAAAUACGUGCCAGCAGCCGCGGUAAUACGUAUGGUGCAAGCGUUAUCCGGAUUUACUGGGUGUAAAGGGAGCGCAGGCGGUACGGCAAGUCUGAUGUGAAAGCCCGGGGCUCAACCCCGGUACUGCAUUGGAAACUGUCGAACUAGAGUGUCGGAGGGGUAAGUGGAAUUCCUAGUGUAGCGGUGAAAUGCGUAGAUAUUAGGAGGAACACCAGUGGCGAAGGCGGCUUACUGGACGAUAACUGACGCUGAGGCUCGAAAGCGUGGGGAGCAAACAGGAUUAGAUACCCUGGUA
rnacentral:rRNA from 1 species